rnacentral:rRNA from 1 species
GCCUACCAUGGUGGUAACGGGUAACGGGGUGUUAGGGCACGACACCGGAGAGGGAGCCUGAGAAACGGCUACCACAUCCAAGGAUGGCAGCAGGCGCGCAAAUUACCCAAUCCCGACACGGGGAGGUAGUGACAAUAAAUAACAAUACGGGGCUCUUUUGGGUCUCGUAAUUGGAAUGAGUACAAUUUAAAUCUCUUAACGAGGAACAAUUGGAGGGCAAGUCUGGUGCCAGCAGCCGCGGUAAUUCCAGCUCCAGUAGCGUAUAUUAAAGUUGUUGCAGUUAAAAAGCUCGUAGUUGAAUUUCGGGGUUAGUAGGUUGGUCAUGCCUCUGGUAUGUACUGGUCUCACUGAUUCCUCCUUCCUGAUGAACCGUAAUGCCAUUAAUUUGGUGUUGCGGGGAAUUUGGACUGUUACUUUGAAAAAAUUAGAGUGUUUAAAGCAAGCUAACGCUUGAAUACAUUAGCAUGGAAUAAUGAAAUAGGACGUUCGAUCCUAUUUUGUUGGUUUCUAGGAUUGACGUAAUGAUUAAUAGGGAUAGUUGGGGGCAUUAGUAUUCAAUUGUCAGAGGUGAAAUUCUUGGAUUUAUUGAAGACUGACUACUGCGAAAGCAUUUGCCAAGGAUGUUUUAAUUAAUCAAGAACGAAAGUUAGGGGAUCGAAGACGAUCAGAUACCGUCGUA